rnacentral:piRNA from 1 species
UGAUUUAACAAGAACCAGGGCACCUGAC